rnacentral:rRNA from 1 species
UACGAAGGGGGCUAGCGUUGCUCGGAAUGACUGGGCGUAAAGGGCGCGUAGGCGGAUGGCUUUGUCGGGCGUGAAAUUCCAGGGCUUAACCUUGGGGCUGCGUUCGAGACGGGUUGUCUUGAGUGGGGAAGAGGGUCGUGGAAUUCCCAGUGUAGAGGUGAAAUUCGUAGAUAUUCGCAAGAACACCAGUGGCGAAGGCGGCUUACUGGUCCGGUUCUGACGCUGAGGCGCGAAAGCGUGGGGAGCAAACAGG